CUGAAAACUGAAACAGAGCCACACCAGAAAUGUGUUAAAUCAACUGUGUUCUGUGAUCAAACGUUAACUUGUGGCCUUCUUACAAGAAAAAACGAUUGAAUUCGGUCAUGAUUAUUCUAUAUACUUUAGUUUUGAAUUAUAAUGUCCAUUUUUAUAUACAUAUAUAAGCAUGCGGAUGUACGUCAUUAUGUAAAAAGAACCACCACAUUACGUAACACUUGUCAACUUUAAUAAGAAUAAUUUCGUUUGAAUAAAAUAAUCAAAAAGCAACCAAUAUAGCCUCUUAAUAAAAAAUACAACCGUCAAAAAAUAAGAAUUGACACAAAAAUCAAAUAUAGUAGCGGUAGCGAUAUUUCGUGUAAUAGUGCUAAGCACUACGUUCGGUGAAUUUGAAUUAUAAUAUGCAGGCUUAAUAAUGAACUAGAUUUUAUUUUACCUAUGGAAGGUAGAUAGAAGGAAAUAAAUCUAUAUGAGUAUUAACAUCAUAGAAUAUCAAUACUAGACUGCGAGAUUCAUAUACUUUCCAUAAAAAAGUUGCUCCAACUUUAAAAAGAAGCAGCCUCUAAUGUAAGGUAUCUUUAUUUCACUGUGCGUGCAAUGAUUGGUGAAAUGAGGGAAGACAGUCGAGGAAUAGAAUGGUGGAAUUAAUACGAUAAUUUAUGUCCUUAAGUAUCAUCAUAUCUAUCUUAAAUUAGAAGCAGGUUUACAUGUUGAUCUUUCUUACCUUUAGUUAGUUUUAGGUAAAGAAUGUUUUGAGGGACUGGAAUGUUUAUUUUUUGAUUCACACCCUAGGCCAUAAGAAGAAGACGCAAUUCCAUAGUUCACUUUUUGAUACCAUAUAAGGAGUCAAGCGAGAAGGCGUGGUCACGUGACUUAUGAAAAGUGGAUUGGAGGGGCUGGUCUCAAGUGCCCCAUUACCUACUGUCCUUAAAUGAUAAAUACCAAAAGUGUUACCAAACUCUGAAAAAUCACGCUUGCGUCAAACCGCUUUCAAGAUUUGAGUAGGUUUAUUUGAAAUGAGAGCAUCAUGAAAAUACUAAAAUUUAUUUUUGAACAAAAUACAAAAACUUUGUUAUUUGUAUGUCAAAUACAAUUGCAGAACGUCA